rnacentral:tRNA from 1 species
AAAAAGAUAAGCUAAAUAAGCUAAUAGGUUCAUACCCUAUAUAUAGAAGUAAAACCUUCUUCUUUUUA